rnacentral:rRNA from 1 species
UACGUAGGGUGCAAGCGUUAAUCGGAAUUACUGGGCGUAAAGCGUGCGCAGGCGGUUUUGUAAGUCUGACGUGAAAGCCCCGGGCUCAACCUGGGAAUUGCGUUGGAGACUGCAAGGCUUGAAUCUGGCAGAGGGGGGGUAGAAUUCCACGUGUAGCAGUGAAAUGCGUAGAGAUGUGGAGGAACACCGAUGGCGAAGGCAGCCCCCCUGGGUCAAGAUUGACGCUCAUGCACGAAAGCGUGGGGAGCAAACAGG